UGGUGGAGUGAUUUGUCUGGUUAAUUCCGUUAACGAACGAGACCUCGACCUGCUAAAUAGUCCGGCGAACUCUUCGGGGUUCGGCCGGUACUUCUUAGAGGGACUAUCGGUGUGUAGCCGAUGGAAGUUCGAGGCAAUAACA
rnacentral:rRNA from 1 species